AUAAAAGAAAGUAAAUAAGGGCGCAUGGCGGAUGCCUUGGCUCUCGGAGGCGAUGAAGGACGUGAUAAGCUGCGAUAAGCUUCGGGUAGGUGCAAAUGACCUUUGAUCCGAAGAUUUCCGAAUGGGACAACCCGGCAUUCUGAAGGAAUGUCAUCCAACUUGGUUGGAGGCUAACGCAGGGAACUGAAACAUCUUAGUACCUGCAGGAAAAGAAAAUAAAUAAUGAUUCCCCUAGUAGUGGCGAGCGAACGGGGAUUAGCCCAAACCAC
rnacentral:rRNA from 1 species